rfam:Parcubacteria bacterium GW2011_GWC1_39_29 TT43_C0020, whole genome shotgun sequence.
UAAAUAUUAAUAUAUACUUUUCUUGUCCUUAAUAAUCAAAGCUUAGAGUGAAGUCGGUGGAAAUCCGACACUGUCGCGCAACGGUAAGCCCUUUGGGCAAGUCCGGUCCUCUAAGCCUAUAAUCUCGCCCGC